AGAUCUUGAAUGCUUUACGGGACGAACGCGAUAGCUGGGUUGAAGUACGCCCUGUACAUUCUGCAGAUUUCAAAUUGCUGAUGAAAAUGUCUGAUAUCAAAGGGACACAGCUGAAUAGUUAACACAUUUUUCAAAAGAAGAGUUUGACAGGUAAGUGUUAUGGAAAGUAU